rnacentral:rRNA from 1 species
AGCAGCCGCGGUAAUUCCAGCUCCAAUAGCGUAUAUUAAAGUUGUUGCAGUUAAAAAGCUCGUAGUUGAAUUUCGAGAUCAAUUUGUUGGUCGUGCCUCGGUACGUACUGGCAAUUUUGAUUUCUCCCUUCUGAAGAACCAUGAUGUCAUUAAUUUGGUGUCAUGGGGAAUCAGGACCGUUACUUUGAAAAAUUAGAGUGUUUAAAGCAGGCUCGCGCUUGAAUACAUUAGCAUGGAAUAGUGAAACAGGACGUUUGAUUCUAUUUUGUUGGUUUCUAGGAUCGACGUAAUGAUUAAUAGGGAUAGUUGGGGGCAUUAGUAUUCAAUUGUCAGAGGUGAAAUUCUUGGAUUUAUUGGAGACUAACUACUGCGAAAGCAUUUGCCAAGGAUGUUUUCAUUAAUCAAGAACGAAAGUUAGGGGAUCGAAGACGAUCAGAUACCGUCGUAGUCUUAACCAUAAACUAUGCCGACUAGGGAUCGGAUGAUGUUAAUUUUUUAAUGUACUCAUUCGGCGUACCCG